ensembl:lncRNA
AGAGAACAACAUCUUUGUGAUCAGAUUAAUCAACGUUUGAUGGAUAAGGAGGUUAAGACUCAGAGAAGCUGGGUAGAAUAGACUUCUCAAAUUUCUAAUACACCAUCAUUGGAACUAUAAAAUUAGGUGUGGAAACUGACAACUCAAAGGUGAUACCUAACUUUUCUUCAGGCCCCAAGCUGGCAGGUGGCAGAACUGGGGUGCUUCUGAGAUGUCAGCUUUGUGGGAAUUCCACACAUGGAAGAUUGCCAGGAGCAGAAGCAUGUGACUCGAUGUCUUUUCCUGGAGUGGACACAUCCUGUAACCACCUCCCUAGGACAAGAAAGAGGAUACGGCCAACUUUCCCCGCUGCCCCGUGAAAUGCCCUCACAGACACACCCAGAAAUAAUGUUUUACCAGCUAUCUGGGCAUCCCUUGGCCCAGUCAAACUGACACAUAAAAUUAACCAUCACAGUAAGUAUUCACCAUAAUUUUCUUUCCUUCUAGGCUUCUGUAUAUUUUAACUUAGACUUAUGGCAGGAAACUGGGUUUGCGUGAGUUUUGCAUGGGAAAGUAAAUAAAGUUAGACUAUCUUCUAGGAGUUUUCAUAUAGCACUCAGCAGUUUGCUCAUGUGCCCAGGGCUGAAAUUUGUUACUGCAUCUUAAUUCCAGAACCCAUGAUCAAGGCCCAUCCUGGGUUUAAAGGGGAACCUAUAAGGUGAGAAGCUUUUUGGACAUAGGACAAGUGUUCAGAUGAAACACCUGCUUCCCACCAAGAAUCUUCAAAACCAAUUUCAUCUCCUACUUUUGACCCCUUCAGUCACUGUUCUACAGAGGUUUUGUUUGUUUUGUUUUGUUUUUAAUCUCCUUCAAUACCGUAUAUCUCGUGCCUCAUUCUGUCUCUCCAUUCCUACUUCCUAUUGUCCUAGUUCAAGACCUUAUCACAUCUUACUUGGGCUGUGGCAUUUGCGGGACACCUAGUCUCCAUUUCCUCCUCUUCUCAGCCAUCCAAGUGCUCGCUCUAAGAUGGAAAGCUGGCCACAUUUGUCCCUUGUUGAGCAGCGUUUGGUGGCUCUCCAUUGCUUUACCAGACGAUGUCCAGGCUCAUCACCAUGGCACAUGACUUCUCCCAUGACCCAGCUCUUGCUUACUUCUCCAGCUUACUCUCCUGCUCCACUCUCAUCUUUUGCUUCACACUCCAGCAGCUCUAACUGCUUACGGUUCCCAGUGUAUAUCCUGGGGUUCUUUUGUCCCAGCUUUUUUGUAGGCUGAUCUGAGAAAGAUCUGGAAUAGACUGUCCAUGUCCUUCUCCUGGAUAAUCCAUUCUUUAAUGAUCAGCUCAGGCCAUAUACCCUUGACCCUACCCGGCGGGGGCUGCAUGGUCUCCUUUCUGCCCAUACCUCUGUCCCUGUGACUAGACUGUAGGGUCUUUGCAGGCAGGGUCCAGGUCUUAGUCAUCUUUGUACAUCCGUAACUUGCUGUGUGCUGGUAGAUGACAGUUGCUCAAUAAACAUUUAUAGCUUCAAACAGAAAGAACAACAGUGACUAGUUGACUGGUUUGAGUUUCAUUUCAUCUCCUUUCAGAAGCCAGAGAUGGAAUAAAAUGGCCAAAGUAGCGCGACCAGAAGGGAGGGAGGAAGGCAGUGGCUAUGGAAAGUCUGCAGAUACAAUCUCUUCCUGCGGGACUGAAUUCAGUCCAAAUGAUUAAAAGUCUCUUGUGAUGGAAUCCGCUUUUUGUAGAAUGGAUUAGUAACAAGGAUUUUCUCUAAAGAUAGAUUUUUUUCCAGAGAAACAAAUUUGAACAAUUUACUCGAAGAAUUUAAAUGCAAAAGUAAUCCUACUUAAAAGGCAAAUUGACCACUAUCCUUCCUCCUUUCUCUUAUUAGUAAAAGAGUUUACACAGAAACUCUAUAAGAAAUUGUGUAAGAGAUUCACAAGGAUCAUUAAGGUCUCUCCUAGACAGUCACUUUCACUUUGUAAAAUUGGCCAUCCCCUCAAAAUGGUAUCACAUUAAAAUGGACUUUCUGGGGCUCUUAUAUGUGAAUGGGUUUUAGCUGCACAGUGGUGCCAUUCAUUUUAUUUGGCCCAUUUAUUGCCAAGUACAUUCUAAAUUUGGCCUUAAUUAUUUUUCCUUUCACAAAAAUAUUUUGUGGGAUCUUUUUGAACCCUGACUACUUCCUUCUUGCCCCUUAAAACAGAAUCCAGGAGUGUUAUUUUUGUUCUCUUCUAAUUAAAAUAAUUGCUCGGUUCCUUUUAACUAGAUUCAUGCAGUUAUUAGCCUAAUACAUGGAUGGGUGCCAUGGGGUGCUUGAGAAACAAAAUGAAAAGUGAUCAUGUAGCUUCACAUGAAAAAGGUUCUGUGGUGCCAAAGAGCAUUAUUUCCUUUCAGCCGGCAUUUUAUAAGGGCCUUUAGUAAACCUGGCCCCCCGUACCCUUCCUAAAAGACUAUUAAGUGAAAGAAUAGUUCUGUUUUCUUUAUUAGGUAGACAGCUAACUCAGUACAAUUUGAAGAGGGGCACUUGAUAUGCCGGGUAUGGCACAAAGACCUGGGGUCUGGUUUUAAUGUCUGUCCCUGCUUUGUCUUGCAG